rnacentral:rRNA from 1 species
GACGAACGCUGGCGGCGUGCCUAACACAUGCAAGUUGAGCGACGAACCAGGGCUUGCCCUGGGGCAAAGCAGCGAACGGGUGAGUAACACGUGGGUAACCUACCCCGAUAACCGGGACAACCCGAGGAAACUCGGGCUAAUACCGGAUGUGCCCACUGGACUUCGGUUCAGUGCGUAAAGGAAGCUUCGGCCUCCGUAUCGGGAGGGGCCCGCGGCCCACUAGUUAGUUGGUGAGGUAACGGCUCACCAAGACCGCGAUGGGUAGCUGGUCUGAGAGGACGAUCAGCCACACUGGGACUGAGACACGGCCCAGACUCCUACGGGAGGCAGCAGUGGGGAAUCUUGCGCAAUGCGCGAAAGCGUGACGCAGCAACACCGCGUGGGGGAAGAAGGCCUUCGGGUUGUAAACCCCUUUCAGGAGGGACGAAGGUUCGGCGGUGAAUAGCCGUCCGGACUGACGGUACCUGCACAAGAAGCCCCGGCUAACUAUGUGCCAGCCGCCGCGGUAA